CCUACGGGCGGCAGCAGUGAGGAAUAUUGGUCAAUGGACGAGAGUCUGAACCAGCCAAGUAGCGUGAAGGAUGACUGCCCUAUGGGUUGUAAACUUCUGUUAUAGGGGAAUAAAAUGUGCCAGGCGUGGGAUUUUGUAUGUACCAUAUGAAUAAGGAUCGGCUAACUCCGUGCAAUCCGCCGCGGUAAUACGGAGGAUCCGAGCGUUAGCCGGAGUUAUUGGGUUUAAAGGGAGCGUCGUUGGAUUGUUAAGUCAGUUGUGAAAGUUUGGGGCUCCACCGUAAAAUUGCCGUUGCAACUGGCAGUCUUGCGUACAGUCGUGGUGGGCGUCAUUCGUGGUGUAGCGGUGACAUGCUUAGAUAUCACGAAGAACUCCGAUUGCGAAUGCAGCUCACUGGACUGCAUCUGACACUGAGGCUCG
rnacentral:rRNA from 1 species